rnacentral:rRNA from 1 species
GGUUUGAUUGGUGGCUCAGAUUGAACGCUAAGGGAUGUCGGCACAUGCAAGUCGAACGGCAGCACGGACUUCGGUCUGGUGGCGAGUGGCGAACGGGUGGAGUAAUGUACCGGAACGUGCCUAGUAGCGGGGAUAACCAUGCGAAAGCGUAGCUAAUACUCUAGUACACCUUCGGGGGUGCAAUCCUCUGGGCCUCGCACUAUUAGAGCGGCCGAUACGAUUAGUUAGUUGGUGGGGUAACGGUCACCAAGGUGACGAUCCGUAGCUGGUUUGAGAGGACGACCAGCCACACUGGGACUGAGACAUGGCCCAGACUCCACAGGAGGCAGUGGGGAAUUUUGGACAAUUGGGAAACUCGAUCCAGCCAUCCUGCAGGCGAUGAAGGCCUCAAGUUGUAAAGCACUUUUGGCAGGAAGAAAUCUGCACGGGAUAAUACCCCGUGCAACUGACGGUACCUGCAGAAUAAGCACUGUUAACUACGUGCCAGCAGCCGCGGUAUGUCGUAGGAUGCAAGCGUUAAUCGGAAUUACUGGCGUAAAGCGUGCGCAGGCGGUCUGGAAAGAAAGAUGUGAAACUCUAGGAGCUUAACCCUUUGGAACUGCAUUUUUAACUACCGAGCUAGAGUGUGCUUGAGGGAGGUGGAACGGUGUAGCAGUGAAAUGCGUAGAUGAGGUGGAGAACACCGAUGGCGAAGGCAGCCUCCUUGGGAUAACACUACGCCAUGCACGAAAGGUGGGGAGAAACAGGAUUAGAUACCCUGUAGUCCACGCCCUAAAACGAUGUCAACUUAGCUGGCAAUUUCGGCCCGCAGAUGCAGCUAACGGUGAAGUUGACCGCCUGGGGAGUACGGUCGCAAGAUUAAAACUCAAAGGAAUUUGGAUGGGGACCCGCACAAGCGGUGGAUGAUGUGGAUUAAUUGAUAAACGCGAAAACCUUACCACCCUUGACAUGUCUGGAAUCCCGAAGAGAUUUGGGAGUGCCUGCAAGAGAACCGGAACAGGUGCUGUACAGCCGUCGUCAGUCGUGUCGAGAUGUUGGGUUAAGUCCUGCAACGAGCGCAACCCUUGUCAUUAGUUGCUACGAAAGGGCACUCGCAUCGAGACUGCCGUGACAAACCGGAGGAAGGUGGGGAUGACGUCAAGUCCUCAUGGCCCCGGUGGUAGGGCUUCACACGUCAUACAAUGGUCAGACAGAGGGUCGCCAACCCUGCGAGGGGGAGCCAAUCCCAGAAACCCGAUCGUAGUCCGGAUCGCAGUCGCAACUCGACUGCGUGAAGUCGGAAUCGCUAGUAAUCGCGGAUCAGCAUGUCGCGGUGAUGUCUCGGGUCUUGUACAUACCGCCCGUCACACCAUGGGAGUGGGUUUUACCAGAAGUAGUUAGCCUAACCGUAAGGGAGGGCGAUUACUACGGUAGGAUCUUAUGACUGGGGUGAAGUCGUAACAAGGCAA